rnacentral:rRNA from 1 species
GACAGAGGGUGCAAACGUUGUUCGGAAUUACUGGGCGUAAAGGGCUCGUAGGUGGCCAACUAAGUCAGACGUGAAAUCCCUCAGCUUAACUGGGGAACUGCGUCUGAUACUGGAUGGCUUGAGUUUGGGAGAGGGACGCGGAAUUCCAGGUGUAGCGGUGAAAUGCGUAGAUAUCUGGAGGAACACCGGUGGCGAAGGCGGCAUCCUGGACCAACACUGACACUGAGGAGCGAAAGCCAGGGGAGCAAACGGGG